ensembl:misc_RNA
GGAAAGGAAGCUUUAUUGUUUCCGAGGACUGUGCUGGAGGAGUCAUACAAACUUUGCUAUUUUUUCCUCUGAUAUCCAUUUGCCAUGAUUGUCUGAGGAAGGGAGAAAAAGUCUUUGAAGUGGCUACCAGGAUCCUUUGCAGAUCUCUGGGAUGUCAUUCACUCAUGCUUCUAUGGUGGGUGACUCCUAACAUCAUCACAUUCUUCCAAUUCUCCCAGUAGGGUAUGCAGUAGUCAUAUAGGCAAAGCUUUCUGAGUUACAGCAAA